rnacentral:rRNA from 1 species
AUUGAACGCUGGCGGCAGGCCUAACACAUGCAAGUCGAGCGGAGCGGCGGACGGGGAAGUGAUGCCUAGUAAUCUACCUGGUAGUGGGGGAUACCGUCCGGGAACGGGCGCUACUGCCGCAUACUCUCAGCUUAGCCUCGGUCGGAUUAGCUAGUUGGUGGGGUAACGGCCUACCAAGGCGACGAUCCUUAACUGGUCUGAGAGGAUGAUCAGUCACACUGGAACUGAGACACGGGCCAGACUCCUACGGGAGGCAGCAGUGGGGAAUAUUGGACAAUGGGCGAAAGACUGAUCGAGCCAUGCCGCGUGUGUGAAGAAGGGAUUCGGAUUGUAAAGCACUUUAAGUUGGGAGGCGUUACCAACAGAAGAAGCACCGGCUAACUCCGUGCCAGCAGCCGCGGUAAUUC